GUUGCGGAAGUACAGGGCGGGAGAUCCGAGAAAAGCACGCAGUGACAAGUUGCACGUCCGUACUAAAACUGACACAGGUAGGUGAGGAGAGUAUCCUCAGGCGCUCGAGAGAACGGUCCUUAAGGAACUAGGCAAUUUUGCCCCGUAACUUCGGGAUAAGGGGUCCCUGCUCGCUUCGGCGAGAGGGCACAGCAAAGCGGCUCUGGCGACUGUUUAUCAAAAACACAGGUCUCUGCAAAGUCCAACAGACGACGUAUAGAGACUGACGCCUGCUCGGUGCCGGAAUGUUAAGGAAGGCGGUCAGUGGGGGUAACCCCGCGAAGCUGGCGACCGAAGCACCGGUAAACGGCGGCCCUAACUAUGAGGGUCCUAAGGUAGCGAAGUUCCUUGUCGGGUAAGUUCCGACGCGCAUGAAUGGCGUAACGACUGGAGCACUGUCUCAAGGACCGACUCGGUGAAAUUGGACUUGUGGUGAAGAUACCACAUACCCGCGGCAAGACGGAAAGACCCCGUGAACCUUUACUGUAGCCUGGUAUUGGCCACGAUUAUCUCAUGCGUAGGAUAGGUGGCAGCCGUUGAAGCUUUGGUUCUGGCCAGAGCUGAGGCAACGUUGAAAUACCACCCUUGGGCUGAUCGUAUCCUAACCUCGACCCAUGAAGCUGGGCGAGGGACCGUGCUAGGUGGGCAGUUUGACUGGGGCGGUCUCCUCCCAAAGAGUAACGGAGGAGCGCAAAGGUCGGCUCAGCGCGGUUGGCAAUCGCGCUUAGAGGGCAAGGCUAUAAGCCGGCUUAACUGUGAGUCCGACAGGACAAACAGACACGAAAGUGGGCCCUAGUGAUCCGGUGAUUCCGUGUGGAAGGGUCAUCGCUCAACGGAUAAAAGGUACUCCGGGGAUAACAGGCUGAUCGCCUCCGAGCGUCCAUAGCGGCGAGGCGGUUUGGCACCUCGAUGUCGGCCCAUCGCAUCCUGGGGCUGAAGGCGGUCCCAAGGGUUUGGCUGUUCGCCAAUUAAAGCGGUACGCGAGCUGGGUUCAGACCGGCGUGAGCCAGGUCGGUCCCUAUCUGCCGUGGGCGUACGAGACUUGAGCGGAUAUCUUCCUAGUACGAGAGGAUUGGAAGGUACCAGCCUCUGGUGUACCUGUUGUCGCGCUAGCGGCAGCGCAGGGUAGCUAAGCUGGGAAAGGAUAAACGCUGAAUGCAUCUAAGCGUGAAGCCCCCCGCGAGAUAAGGUCUCGGUUCCCUUCGGGGAUGAAGGCCCGUCGUAGACCACGACGUCAAUAGGCUGGGAGUGUAAGAUCCGAAAGGAUUUGAGCGGACCAGUACUAAUGGCCAAAGGCUUGAAUCG
rnacentral:rRNA from 1 species